AAAAUUAAAAACAAUCAGACAGGCGUGGUAUAUUAUUUUUGUGUGUGACUUUCACAUUAUUUUUUAAUAUGUAAUGUGUUAGGUAUUACAAUUAUACAUACGCAUACCUAUAUAUACGCUUAUUUUUAUAUACAUAUACAUACAUACAUGCAUACAUACAUACAUACAUACAUAUGUAUUGACUUAUAUGCUUGUAAACAUAUGCUACCGUAACUAAUAUAUAUGUAAUGGUAUCGCACUUUUUUACAUAUAACAUAAUAUUUUAAAGUCGAAGGUUAGGGUCUGAGUUUACCAUCUAUCUGCAUAUGUAUAUGUAUGCAUACGUAAAGUAAUCAAAAAUCAUGGUAUAUAGAGAGAAGAGGAGAUCUAUUAUUUUUAUUUAUAUAUAUUUUAGUGUUUUAUUUCUAUAUUUCUCUUCGUU